AAUCUGUGAUGUGGACAUUUUUAAAUCAACAUCUUAAAACACUUCCAAGCUUCAUGAAAACUCUCUCCCUCUAAUUAUUUGAACAUAGAAAUCUUCCUUCUUAACU
rfam:Gossypium hirsutum cultivar TM-1 chromosome 17, whole genome shotgun sequence